rnacentral:miRNA from 2 species
CACGUGCUCCCCUUCUCCACC